UACAGAGGUGGCAAGCGUUGUUCGGAAUUACUGGGCGUAAAGGGCUCGUAGGCGGCCAACUAAGUCGGAUGUGAAAUCCCCAAGCUUAACUUGGGAACUGCAUCCGAUACUGGAUGGCUUGAAUCCGGGAGAGGGAUGCAGAAUUCCAGGUGUAGCGGUGAAAUGCGUAGAUAUCUGGAGGAAUACUGGUGGCGAAGGCGGCAUCCUGGACCGGCAUUGACGCUGAGGAGCGAAAGCUAGGGGAGCAAACGGG
rnacentral:rRNA from 1 species